rnacentral:siRNA from 1 species
UGUUGCAGGUUCGAGUCAAUCCG